UAGUUAUAAGGAGCGGAGGACCGGGGCGGUGUGACUGUUGCUUACUUCACGACUGGACCACCACUUCACCACUUGCUUGCUUCACCACUGGAUCGAUCACCACUGGAUCGAUUGUAAACGUGAAGGAGAAUAUGUUGGAAAAUAGUAAUAGUGCCUCUUGCACACACUUUACCUCACUUUCACUCCUAUAUCUGCUCUGCUCUUUAAUCAAGAUUCUUUUCUUCGAGUCAGAACCAGAGGAUCCAAAACAACCAAGUAGCUCAGCAUCGAGUAAUAGCGUCCUGAGUCAUCAGUCCUGAGUCUGGACACUUGGAGUCUGAUCCGUCCUUCUCUGAGCUCGUCUCUGUCAAACUGGACUCGUCCUGAAAACUGUUGAUCCUGAGACUCUGAGACCUCAACACCUCCAUGGAGAUGAAACAGGACUGAGACUCUGAGAUCAGUCACCAGCUGACAGAAGAUGUAAACUGAGGUGAUGGACACGUCAGGUUUGGGUGUGAAGGUCCACUCCAGUGUGAUGCUGUGGUUCUGCUCUGCCUGAUAGUGGGUCUGGGUCACAUUCACUACUAAUGAUCCUGUGGAGCAAACACACAGAACUUUAACAUGUGAGUGUUUAUGCUCAGUGCUGACAGAGGUUUAGUUCUAUUUAAUGUUAACUGUACUGUUAAAUCCAGAUGAAAUGUGAAUCAGUGAAUUAGUAUCUUUUGGUGAUUUGGUACAAAAACAUUUAUUCUGUGCUGGACAGUGAAGAUGUGAACAAACCAAAGAUGCAUGAGAUGAAGCUGAUGAGCAGCAGGAUCCUGAAGAUCAUCUUCAUCCUGUUAAAGGAGACAGAAAAGAAUCAACACCUGAAAAAAAGGAAGCAGUUUGUUGUUUGGAUCUAACUUUGUACGUCUCUUUACAUUUUGUAUUGUAGUGGUUUUAGAGACUGUGGGCCGAUCUAGUGGGAUCUGUAUGUUGGUUUAGGGCGGGGGGGCUGCGUGUGACCUCAGGGCACAUGCUUUGAUAUCGCAGGGAGUUUUUAGCAGUGGUGUGUGAUACUGCAUGCUUUGGUGUUGAUCCGAUACCAAGUAAAUACUGGACCAGUAUUGCUGAUAUCGAUACCAACACUUUUUGACAAUUAAUGCAUUAUUAAAUAUGAAUACACUUUCAUGGCUUUUAUAUGUUUGUGUUUUGUUUUAAAUUGUAUUAUUAAUUUAAUAAAACUUAGACAGAAGUUCAACUGUGUUUAACGGCCUGUUUGCAGAUUGUACCGGUUGCCGUUGUUUCAUUUUCGGCUUAAAAUAUAACCACAUUCUCCUACUCUU